rnacentral:lncRNA from 1 species
GUAUCUUGGACCCAAACUUUCAGACCUUGAGGAGAACAAGAAACCUUCAAACAGGAAAAAAAUAGAUAUAUAAAAAUAAUAAAUAUCAGGCCUAGCUGAGGACCCUGAGGGCAGAGGUGAGGUCCCGCCUUCCCACGCUGUCAGCAGGCGUCACGGUGGAAACUAGCUGAGGACCCUGAGGGCAGAGGUGAGGUCCCGCCUUCCCACGCUGUCAGCAGGCGUCACAUCACGGUGGAAACUAGCUGAAGACCCUGAGGGCAGAGAUGAAGUCCCGCCUUCCCACGCUGUCAGCAGGCGUCACAGUGGAACAGUGAUGCUUUCAGACAUGCAAGUCUCAACAUUGUUCUCCGUCACAUACUCCUCAAAUCUCCACUAGAAGAUAUGUUCCAUUAAAAUAAAAAAAAUCCAAAAAAGAAUAUGACACAAAAUCCAUGAAGGAGGGGAUCCAAUAUGAGAGAGACAGAGGGACCAGAGGGACCUCCAGGAUGAUCCUGACUCGAGAUCCCAAGAUGCCAGCUGUGCUGCCAACAUAAGGAUUAUAUAGUCGAGAUUAGCACAGGCCAGAAAUGUCCAGAAGAGAUUUCCUCAAGAUGAAAUGGAUAGAAUACCUCAGAGAGACUGGGACCAGUGCUGGAAGCAACACAGCCGAAAUGCAGCGUUGUUGAGAGAGGGCUCCUAAACUGGAUUUUGGAGGAACUGAAUUCAGAAUGAUCAAAGUACAACCAAAUGUACUUGAGACGUCCACAGCCAGUUCAGACAUGGGGCUGGAAUGAUGUGUCAAAGCCCACAGAAUGUAGAACACCCAGAGUGAACCCUAAUGUGAACAUGGACUUCGGAUGAUGAUGUCGGUUCAUCGAAACACCCAGAGUGAACCCUAAUGUGAACAUGGACUUCGGAUGAUGAUGUCGGUUCAUUGAAAACACCCAGAGUGAACCCUAAUGUGAACAUGGACUUUGGAUGAUGAUGUGGGUUCAUCGAUUGUACCAAAAAUGCCUCUGUGGUACAGGAUGCUGACGGUGCGGAAGGCCACGAGUGUGUGGAGCAGGGGUAUAUGGGAACUCUCUGUACCUUCCACUUAAAUUUGUUGUGAACCUAAAAUUGCUCUA